GCAGUCGAACGGUCUCUUCGGAGGCAGUGGCAGACGGGUGAGUAACGCGUGGGAACAUACCUUUCGGUACGGAACAACAGUUGGAAACGACUGCUAAUACCGUAUACGCCCUAUGGGGGAAAGAUUUAUCGCCGAGAGAUUGGCCCGCGUUAGAUUAGCUAGUUGGUGAGGUAAUGGCUCACCAAGGCGACGAUCUAUAGCUGGUCUGAGAGGAUGAUCAGCCACACUGGGACUGAAACACGGCCCAGACUCCUACGGGAGGCAGCAGUGGGGAAUAUUGGACAAUGGGCGCAAGCCUGAUCCAGCCAUGCCGCGUGAGUGAUGAAGGCCUUAGGGUUGUAAAGCUCUUUCAGCGAGGAGGAUAAUGACGUUACUCGCAGAAGAAGCCCCGGCUAACUUCGUGCCUGCAGCCGCGGUAAUACGAAGGGGGCUAGCGUUGUUCGGAAUCACUGGGCGUAAAGCGCACGUAGGCGGAUUGGUCAGUUAGGGGUGAAAUCCCAUAGCUCAACUCUGGAACUGCCUUUAAUACUGCCAGUCUUGAGUCCGAGAGAGGUGAGUGGAACUCCGAGUGUAGAGGUGAAAUUCGUAGAUAUUCGGAAGAA
rnacentral:rRNA from 1 species